CCUACGGGAGUCAGCAGUGAGGAAUAUUGGUCAAUGGACGAGAGUCUGAACCAGCCAAGUAGCGUGAAGGAUGACUGCCCUAUGGGUUGUAAACUUCUUUUAUAAAGGAAUAAAACGAGGCACGUGUGCCUUUUUGCAUGUACUUUAUGAAUAAGGAUCGGCUAACUCCGUGCCAGCAGCCGCGGUAAUACGGAGGAUACGAGCGUUAUCCGGAUUUAUUGGGUUUAAAGGGAGCGUAGAUGGGUUGUUAAGUCAGUUGUGAAAGUUUGCGGCUCAACCGUAAAAUUGCAAUUGAUACUGGCAGUCGUGAGUACAGUUGAGGUAGGCGGAAUUCGUGGUGUAGCGGUGAAAUGCUUAGAUAUCACGAAGAACCCCGAUUGCGAAGGCAGCUUACUAAACUGUGACUGACAUUGAUGCUCGAAAGUGUGGGUAUCAAACAGGAUUAGAUACCCGAGUAGUC
rnacentral:rRNA from 1 species